AACGCGAAGAACCUUACCUGGGCUUGACAUGGAGAGGACCGUAGCAGAAAUGUUACCUCCCCGCAAGGGGCCUCUCACACAGGUGCUGCAUGGCUGUCGUCAGCUCGUGCCGUGAGGUGUUGGGUUAAGUCCCGCAACGAGCGCAACCCUUGUCGUUAGUUGCCAGCGCGUAAUGGCGGGCACUCUAGCGAGACUGCCUCGGUUAACGAGGAGGAAGGUGAGGAUGACGUCAAGUCCGCAUGGCCCUUAUGCCCAGGGCUACACACGUGCUACAAUGGCCGGUACAGAAGGUUGCCAAGUCGCAAGAUGGAGCAAAUCCCAAAAAGCCGGCCCCAGUUCAGAUUGAAGUCUGCAACUCGACUUCAUGAAGAUGGAAUUGCUAGUAAUGGCGAGUCAGCAACACCGCCGUGAAUACGUUCCCGGGCCUUGUA
rnacentral:rRNA from 1 species